CUUAUCUAGUUCUUUUUUGAACCCUGUUAUAAUCUUGGCCUUCACAACAUCCUCUGGCAAAGAGUUCCACACAUUGACUGUGCGUUGAGAGAAGAAAUACUUUGAACUUCACUAUCUUGAAUAGUUUUGUAUCAUCUGCAAAUUUUGCCACCUCACUGUUUAUCCCUUUUUCCAGAUCAUUUAUGAAUAUGUUGAACAGGACUGGUCCCAGUACAGACUCCUAGGAGGCACCACUAUUAACCUCCAUUCUGAAAAAUGACCAUUUAUUCCUACCCUUUGUUUCCUAUUUUUUAACCAGUUACCAAUCGAUGAGAGGACCUUCCCUCUUACCCCAUGACUGCUUACUUUGUUUAAGAGCCUUUGGUGAGGGACCUUGUCAAAGACUUUCUGAAAAUCUAAGUGCACUAUAUCCACUGGAUCACCGCGUCCGCAUGCUUGUUCACCCCAUCAGAGAAUUCUAGUAGAUUGGUGAGGCAUGAUUUACCUUUACAAAAACCAUGUGUACUCUUCCCCAACAAAUGCUGUUCAUCUAUGUGUCUGAUAAUUCUGUUCUUUACUAUAGUUUCAACCAAGUUGCCUGGUAUUGAAGUUAGGCUAACUGGCCUGUAAUUGCCUCUGGAGCCUUUUUUUUUUAAAAUUGGCAUCACAUUAGCUAUCCUCCACUCAUCUGGUACAGAAACUGAUUUAAAUGAUAGGUUACAUGCCACAGUUUAUAGUUCUGCAAUUUCACAUUUGAGUUCCUUCAGAACUCUUGGGUGAAAGUACCAUCUGAUCCUGGUGGCUUAUUACUGUUUAAUUUAUCAAUUUGCUCCCAAACCUCCUCUAAUGACACUUCAAUCUGGGACAGUUCCUCAGAUUUGUCACCUAAAAAGACUCUCUCAGGUUUGGGAAUCUCCCUCACAUCCUCAGCCAAGAAGACCGCUGCAAAGAAUUCAUUUAGUUUCUCCGCAAUGGCUUUUUAUUCCUGUUAUGCUCCUUUAGCAUCUCAAUUGUCCAGUGACCCCACUGGUUGUUUAGCAGGCUUCCUGCUUCUGAUGUACUUACACAUUUUUUUUUUGCUGUUACUUUUUGAGUCUUUGGCUAGCUGUUCUUCAGAUUCUUUUUUGGCCUUCCUAAGUAUACUUUUACACUUCACUUGCCAGAGUUUAUGCUCCUUCUAUUUUCCUCAAUAGGAUUUAACUUAACUUUUUAAAGAAGCCUCGUGUAAUGCAAAUGAAGAACUUUAGCAGGAAAGUGCUAAUUCUUGCAAAUUUGAAGGCACGUGGUCACUGUGUGUGAUGAUCAGAGAUCAAAGACUCUAAAUGCAUUCCUCUCUCCACCAAUCAAAGAGCGAGCCCAUGUGAGUGGUGACCCAGUCAGAUUGUUCUAAGAGAAUGAAUAUAAAUAUGGGUAGAAAGAAAAAUCAUUAAUCUCUGCACUGUUUGGAUUCUAAGAUGGUGGAAUAACUGAACAAAAAGACAGAGAUCCCCAGAGUUAUUCUGGGUAGCCCUGAGAAACUUUUGGGAAACUGGCAGAUUCCUACAACUCUGCUACCAUUUGGAAUUCUAGAUUGUGACUCAUUUAUACCUAUAUUUUACCGCUUCUCAAUAACUCAUUUCUUUUUCUUCACUAAUAAACCUUUACUUAGUUUACUAUAGCACUGCAUUUUCUUUGGUGUGCGAUCGACGACGCAGUUCAGCCUGAGUUGAGUGACUGGUCUCCUGAGACUGGGAGUAACCUGGAAUAUUUGUGAUUUUUGGUGGUAAGUGAUCAUUUAUAACAUAGUCUAUCUUGCCUGGGUGGCAAGAUACACUGUCAUGCAAAGGGGACGGUCUGUGACACCAGUAUAAGACUAUUGCAGUACUUUAGGAAUUCACAUUUGUUACUGGCUUGAUGAAAUCUAAUUAUAGAUCAUACUAUCAGUAUAGGGUGUCUGCCCUGCUUUUGACAGUCUGCCCUGAGAUAGGCACUGAUGGUUGUGAGCCACUCCAGACAGUGUGGCAGUAAUUACCAGAGUUGAAAUUUGACCAGUGUGAUAAAGUUCCUCCUCUACCUUGGUGGGUCCUGCACUUAUUGGCGGAUUUUGCUCACCUCAGAGAUUCACAGUAGCCCUCAUUUUGGCCACUUACAUGGCUCAAAUCUGCCGUUCACUCAGAUAACCUCAUCACUGGCCAACAUGGGAAAAAAGAGUAAGAACAAUCCCCGCAGUUUCUGCUGAUCCAUCAUGUGGGUCAGGGAACAGCUCAGAGACCUUCCCCUGUGGGGGAACCUCCUGUGUUGGGAGGUUUGGGGGGAACCUGGACCCACCUCUACCCCAGGUUCCAGCCUAGGACCCUGUGGACUGCAGCUGUCUAGAGUGCCUCCUGGAACAGCUGUGCAACAGCUACAACUCCCUGGGCUACUUCCCCAUGGCCUCCUCCCAACACCUUCUUUGUCCUCACUAUAGGACCUUCCUCCUGAUGUCUGUUAACGCUUGUACUCCUCAGUCCUCCAGCAGCACAUCCUCUCACUCCCAGCUCCUUAUGCACACACCUCACUAACUGGAGUGACAGCCUUUUUAAACCAGGUGUCUUGAUUAGCCUUAAUUAAUUCUAGCAGCUUCCCAAUUGGAUACAGGUUCCUAAUUAGCCUGCCUGCCUUAAUUAGUUCUAGAAAGUUACUGAGUGUUCUGAAAUAGUCCCUGUUAUCUUACGCAGGGAAAAGGGACUGCUUAACCUGGAACUAAUGUAUCUACCUUCGACCAUGCUCUUUUAGCCAGCUGGCCUAACCCUGUCACACCAGAUAAUACCCCUAUUUUUGCAAAAGAUACCACAAGAUCUUUAAUGAUCCCAAGUGGUCAGGACUUUGGUUAAAUCGAAUCCAAAAGAGAGAGGGGACCUUGCUGCUGAAAGUGCUAACACAAGGCUGGGGCAUGGAUUCAGGAUUGAUCAGAGAGAAUAAAUGCACCUACAGUCAUCAGCAUUGCUACUUUUUGCAGCACCCAAGUAUUUCUUGGAGGUCUCCCAUAAAAACGACCAUACUGGGUCAGACGAAAGGGCCAUCUAGCCCAGUAUCCUGUCUUCCGACAGUGGCCAAUGCCAGGUGCCCCAGAGGGAAUGAACAGAACAGGUAAUCAUCAAGUCAUCCAUUCCUUGUCACCCAUUCCCAGCUUCUGGCAAACAGAGGCUAGAGACACCAUGAAUACCCAUCCUGGCUAAUAGCCAUUGAUGGACCUAUCCUCCAUGUAUUUAUUUAGUUCUUUUUUUAACCUUGUUAUAGUCUUGGCCUUCACAACAUCCUCUGGCAAGGAGUUCCACAGGUUCCCAUCCAACUAUGGAAACAAGACUGACCUGACUUUGCUUAUAAAAUCUGACAGGAUCACUGCCCUAGGUAAUAUAAAUGCAGGUCAUCUGACCCUAUUAAAGGAUGAUGUAGUGUUAGGCCAGAAUUCAGGUAAUCAAAAGGAAUAAACGUGGUAUUAAAAUCCUCUUUUUACUUGAAUGGAUUAAAGAGAAUUUUUAUUUCAAUAAAGAACAGCGCUUGAUUUACUGUGUAUUCUAAUGGAAGGAAUUUUUUGGUCUACAGAUCUAUUGUUAUGGAUUUCCAGAACCAUAAUCUUUUAAAACCAAAACACAUUUCAGCUCAAAAGGAAGAACAAGCUCUUUAUGAGAGAGCAAUUAUGUCUGUAAGCCUCAGACUUAGCAAUCACUAAAAUUUCUGUACAUUUUAUGAUUUAAUACCUUAGAAGUGUUGUUAAAUCAGUACAUCUCGAAUAUCCCAAAGCUGCUGACAUUUCCCAUUGUCGCUGUUUAGACCAGGGUACUUACAAGCUGGCAUGUUCUGUGGAUACAAUUUCUCUAGGUGACCCUUACAAAGAUAAGCAGGAUUUAGUGACAACUUGAUGUAUAAACGUGGCAUGCUGGGAAUAGCUGAUGAACUUGGAAAGGGGCCUCUGUUGAGCAAUAUUGUAAUAUCUGUGUUCACAUGGGCAAACUCCAAGCUUGUAUCCAGAAUUUCAGAAGUAACUGGUGGCACUGCACGUCCACUCAUUCUAAACCACAAAAUCCUCUCGCCCAGCUCCCUCAAUAUUCACUGUUCCUGGUGUAGGGUGAGAUCCAUUUUGAUUCGCUCUAGCAACAGCUACAUUUACCCCCGGUAUAACUACUGUAAUAUCGGACUACAGCAGGAUUUCAGUUAGACAAGGCAGUAACACAUAGUGCCUUGAGGGCAGUAGAGUGGGUAGUUUGAGCCAGCAUUCAAGACCUCUGUUGAUGGUCCAAGUGGACUCUUAGGUCAACGAGGACAUAUAGAUAUGUCUUAAGACAAAUCUUUCCCCUGCCCCAUCUCCUCCCUCAGCCCCAUCAAAAAGCUCAUAUUCUCCCUACCUUUCUUUCUCCCUCUCCUUUCUAAAGUACACCCACUUCAGAAGGUCUGAAGGGGUCUCAUGAUCCCUGCCUACCUUCCCUCUGGGUUCUAGAUAAGAAAUUCUCCAGAUCAGCAUCUGCAGUUGUUGGGGACACUGGGGCAUGGCCACUAGGUAACUCGAGGGGAUGGAAGACCACGAGUGUCGAUGAAGCCCCCUCGCACUAGGCCCAAGUGUCCUCCCCCCCCCCCCCGCCUGGAGGCACUCGCAGCAGCUAUGCGUACUAGGCCCAAGUGUCCUUGGCCCCCCUGCCUGGAGGCACACACAGCAGUUAUGCUGAGGAUCUGCAACAAUAUGUUGCAGAGUCAGACUGCCUGAAGCUAAACAAGGCCAAACAGGGCAGAUAUGGAAAAACAAUGCUGAAUAAAUCAGCUUUAUGUAUAGUUUAAUAAAUGAUACAAAAAACAAGGGAACUAGCUGGUAACUGGAUUGGCUGGCUAUAUGGAUACUUAGAGCAGCUUGCUAUUGGAUAAGUAUGCUGAAGAAAGGAUGUAUAAAAGCCUGUGUAACUUCCUGCUCUGUGUGCAGGAUUUGAGAUUCUAAUCUCCCUGUACCUUGUUUGCAGCUGCUAAUAAACUUUUCUGUUUCUCCACCGUGUUGUGAUUAUUGGGUGACGCACACCGGGUAGCGAACCCCUGCUGUUGUUUUGCCUCUCGGCACUGGGUGCCGGCAACAGCUUUUGGCGUCCCUGGGUGGGCGACGAGGCUGCUAUUUAGCCUUGCCUGGACCCCUCCUGGAGGUCGAGGAUUGCGGCGAGAACCGACGCCCAGCGUGCACCGGUGAGUUCAUCGGGGGCCUCGGAGGAGACGCGAUUUGAUCGACCCCAGAGGGCACAAAGGUGCAACGCACUCAUAUAGUGGAGAAGCAGCUGUGGGCGACGGUGAGGAACCGGUCCCUUGGACAUAGGGGAGGAGCAGCUGCGGGCGACGGUGAGGAACCGGUCCCUUGGAUAAGGUACUCGACCAGAUAUUUUACAGCACUGUAAUCUGACUCCGACUGGUUCGGUAGCAGCUAAUGUUAGUCCGCAGGUCGGUAGCAGAACUGGAAAUGGAGCCCAGGUGUCCUGAGUCCUAGCCCAGUGCUCAAUUCAUUGGACCAUGCUGUCUCUCCAGCACCUCCACUGCAGUUAUCAAGAUGUUGAGCAAGUGAAUCACAUUUGCACUUCUCAGGAAAUUGCUUUGGUCAGUCCAUGCUGUGGGAAAAUACAUCUUCGGGGUUUUCAGUUCCAGGUUCUAAGAAAGUCCUGACUAACACAGACAUGCCCAGACACAGCGACUUCAGCUGGGGUAUCCAUGAGCGCCAUCCCUUCUACACCUGCAAGACUCACCAUGGUAAGGAAGAAAAAAAGUGGACAGCAGAAGACAUGUUUGCAGAACUGCUCAAGACUUCCAAUUCUGGAGUCUGAGACACUUGAGAAUGGAGCGACCAUAGGCUGGAGGAAACACAGAAGGACCAAGAGGUAUACCAAGACAUCAUGCACCUCCUCCCACAAGAAAGAUGCUCCAAAACAUUAUGGAGCGGAACAUCAGAAGGACUACAUGCCAGCAGCCACUCCACAGCAUGGACAACAAUUCCUUCUUCCAGGGAGUAGGAGUAGCUUCUUCCAGGGCCAUGCACACACACACACCCCCCCGCUCCCCCAUCAGCUUCUUUAGGGCACCAGCAUUCUCAGCAGCAGCAUCCCUUCCACUAUACUCCAGUGAGCAAAAAGGAAAAAACUGUUCUGAAUACACCUACACUGACCUGUGAUGCAGCCCAGAGAGAUCACUAGUUAUUACUGAGAAGUUAUUAUUGUAUAAUAAAGUUCAAUUUUGUGAAAACCAUGAUUUCCUUUGUCUUACAAUACAGAGAUUUAGCCCCCCAAAUCAGCAGCCCCCUUCAUCCAUGAACAAUUCAUAAACCAGCUAACUACUGCAUGUGCAAUAAAGUAACACUGUCUGGCUAUAGCAAACUCUCAGAAUGUGCUUUUUAGGCUUUGCUCAACUGCACAGCACCGUGGUGGGCUCUAGUAACUGGCUUUGUGUCAUACUGCAUGAAAUCAGAAAACAGCCUGUCCACCUCCAUCCUAGUGGAGACAUUUCUCUUCUGGCCUUGCAAAUGUUAUGCGAAACGCAACAUGCAGCAAUGACAGUAAGAAUAUUUGGCUUGCUGAGAUUGGUAUCCACCAGCCCUUUGGUAUGCCACUGGCAUACUCCAUGGUCUUCCUGCACCUUCUCAGGAGAUAGUUAAAUCUUUCAUUGUUGCAGUCCAGGUUCCUGAUGUAUGGCUUCAUGAGCCAUGGAGGGGUAGGUUGGGUCCCUGAUAAUAUCAACCCCACCAAACUGAAUAUGCUGUUCUGGGAAAUGUGUCCCUGCUUGCAGCUUUUCCAAAAGUCUGUAUUCCUAAAGAUGUGAGCAUCAUACACCUUUCUUGACCAUCCAAUGUUAAUGUCAGUAAGGUAUCCAGGGUGAUCCUCCAAU